GGGGAAUUUUCCGCAAUGGGCGCAAGCCUGACGGAGCAAGACCGCGUGCGGGAAGAAGGCUUUCGGGCUGUAAACCGCUUUCAGCAGGAACGAAAAUGACGGUACCUGCAGAAGAAGGAGCGGCCAACUAUGUGCCAGCAGCCGCGGUGAUACAUAGGCUUCAAGCGUUGUCCGGAUUUAUUGGGCGUAAAGCGUCCGUAGGGGGUUGUUCAAGUCUGCUGUUAAAGCGUGCGGCUUAACCGCAUAUC
rnacentral:rRNA from 1 species